GAGCCGUUAGCUCAGUUGGUAGAGCGCCUGACUUUUAAUCAGGGGGUCCAGGGUUCGAGUCCCUGACGGCUCA
rfam:Candidatus Rokubacteria bacterium 13_2_20CM_69_10 13_2_20cm_scaffold_934, whole genome shotgun sequence.